UUGUGGCUCAGCAAAUGGCACCUCCGAGUCCAAGGAACGGCACCCCUAGCAGCAGCAGCGGGAGCGGUGGGAACGACCAGCUGAGCAAAACCAACCUGUAUAUCCGAGGGCUGCAGCCGAGCACCACUGACCAGGACCUGGUCAAGCUCUGUCAGCCGUAUGGCAAGAUUGUCUCCACCAAGGCCAUCCUGGACAAGACCACAAACAAGUGCAAAGGCUAUGGCUUCGUGGACUUCGACAGUCCGUCAUCAGCACAGAAGGCUGUAACUGCACUGAAAGCCAGUGGUGUGCAGGCACAAAUGGCAAAGCAACAGGAGCAAGACCCUACAAAUUUAUACAUCUCAAACCUCCCUCUGUCAAUGGACGAGCAGGAGCUGGAGGGGAUGCUGAAGCCCUUUGGCCAGGUUAUCUCCACUCGGAUCCUCCGAGACACCACUGGGGCCAGCAGAGGGGUCGGCUUUGCAAGGAUGGAAUCCACAGAGAAGUGUGAAGCCAUCAUCACCCACUUUAAUGGAAAGUAUAUAAAGACGCCCCCUGGAGUAGCAGCACCUUCUGACCCCUUGCUUUGCAAAUUUGCUGAUGGUGGGCCAAAGAAACGACAGAACCAAGGAAAGUUUAUGCAAAAUGGACGGGCCUGGCCAAGGAACGGAGAUAUGGGUGGAAUGGCCUUGACCUAUGACCCCACCACAGCUCUUCAGAAUGGGUUCUACACAGCUCCUUACAGUCUCGCCCACAGCAGAAUGCUCGCUCAGUCUGCACUAGCCCCGUAUCUUCCAUCUCCCGUGUCUUCCUAUCAGGGCUCAGUUCUGACACCAGGGAUGGACCACCCCCUCUCUCUCCAGCCUGCCUCCAUGAUGGGACCUCUUACUCAGCAACUGGGGCACCUGUCACUCAACAGCCUGGGCACGUUCAUGCCAGCAGCUGCUGCUAUGCAAGGAACUUACAUCUCCCAGUACCCAGCUGUGCCUUCUUCCAGUGUUUCUGUUGAGGAGAGCAAUGGUCAGCAGAGUCAACUGGCAGUGGAGCCCCCCUCAGACCAUGGGGUCUAUCCUUUCCAGUUCAGCAAGUAGUGAGGUCCGGACUUAAGAAGCUUAUGCACUCCUCCUUGGGCUGUUUUCCCAUUGCUGAUGGAACCUGAGAAACCAUGUUGUUUUUCGAAUGUGCUACAUUCAAGAUCAAAAAGACUUUUUUCUUUUGCAAAAGAAGUUUCUUGCUUUGUAUUUAAUUGCAGCGAAACCUUUCUCCUACCCCAAAGACACCAGUUGAGCUGCUUCUCAUCUUCAAGAGGUUUGGCACACAGCUGACUCGGAGCAGGCACUGAGUGUUCUACCACACCAGAGGACCCAGAAAACAGGUCAAGUGGGGAGCCUGACCUACCCAGUCAUUAUCUUAGGGAUGGUAACGACCUCUGCUUCAGGAGACAGACACGGAACCUCCUUGAGUCUUUAUCAAAUGUGGCUUUAUUCAAUGACAAGCACUUUCUACAGCCGCACCUGUGGAACAUCACAUGGCAAAAACCCGGGUUUUUUUUUUUUUUCUCUAGACUUUUUUCCUUUUUUUAAACCUUAUUAAAAAUGAGAUUGGUCCUAAAAAUAUAGAAAGAAAUAAAUUUAAAUUCACAAAAAACUGUACAUUAUCAAAAAGUCACUAAAACACCACAUUUGGUUAUAUAAAAAGUCCCUUUUGUUGUAAAAGGAACAUGGAAACUUGGUGUUGAUGGUUUCUUGCUGUUACUGGGGAGGGGACACAAAGGGCAGGGGAGGGCUGUCUUUUUAUUUUUAACCUGCUUUCCCUACCAAAUACUCUUUGUCAACAAGAGAAAAGUCCACCUAGCUCGAGGGGCAGUGAAGAUGAGGAAAGAAAAGUAUGAGAAAUGGCCCCUUUGAUCACAUCCUGCCCCACAAUCCCUUCAGCCCCCAUUUCUUCAAAUCAAGGCUAGGACCUCCACCUUCAGAGUGCCUGGUCCCUAGGGCAGAGGUGGGGCUGGGAGAGGAGCACACAGCAGAGAGCCCAGGCUCCACUGUCCCUCACCUCAACAACGAAUGACUCCAGUACACUUUAUGCCAGGGGAAACAGUUCCAAACAUCUAACACAAAGUUUGUUACAGCGCAGUUAUUUAGAUAAAAUAUAAAUAUUUAUGCAUAAUAUAAAGUCAAUUCAAAUAUUCUUCAAUCCACCUCUUAUUUAAAAGCAAAAAAAAAAAUUCUCAAAUAAAAUUAAGUUUUGAGGUUUAUCGACAGAAAAGGCGACUUUAGAAGUAGGCAACAGGGAGCGCGGUGAGGGUGGGUUGAGAAGAGUGGGGGCUGCCCAGGAUCCUGCACUGCCCUGCUCUUCAGUACUGCUGGAGUACAAGGAAUGCUUCGCCUCACCUGGCAUCCUCCACCCACCCAUGGAACAUUGCUUGGAUGCCUCAGCUCUCUGCUUAGGCCAGCCAGCAGCCACCUCCCCAGUGCAAGUACCCGUAAUUUCUGAUGGGAGGGGCUUGGCUGAGCAGGAAAGCAGGGGCCAGUGGCCCAUGGCUACAGCUUGGAGUUAGCAGCUGUCCUCUCAUGCUGGGGGCUAAUCUGGGCUUAGUCACACACAGGGCAGUGGUAGACCCAGAUCCUCCUCUCUGCCCAUCCUGUGCUCCAGGGUCUCUGCUGCUGGGGAAGGAAGGGGUCCUGGGAUAUGAAGACAGUGUGAGGAAGGAAAACACAGCUAAACCCAGACACUCAUGGUUUAGGGAAGAUCCAGUUCUACCA